GGAACCAUUACUAAGGCAUCGCAAAGUCUAACCACUUUUUAGCUGAGGAGCUGGCAGAGAACUCUGGCAUAGAUAAUUAAUUAAAGGAAUAGUCAGAAUCAUGGGUUGGCAAAUGGAAGGUAAUGGCAGAAGACAGCUGGGGUAUUGACAGUUGUAGGCUAUUGCAUAAUAUCUUGUGAAGAGACUGAGGUGAACCCUAAUUAUGGUCAAAACUAAAUACAUAAUGAAUUAAAAGAUGCAGAUGUAACAGAGUAAAAUAAAAGAAAAAGGGGGAUUGUAGGAUAUAUGGAUGUUGCUUCUGCAUCAGAGGGUGGAGUCAAAGAAAUAGUUUUUUUAUUAUUAUUAUUUCCACAAAAAGCCAAGUAGAAACCUUAAGGAAUGCAGUCUGGGGGCUAGGUGGAAGUUGAACAAAAGGGAAUUAUAAGAAAACACUCUUGGUGGUGAAAAGACUAACCUGCUGAAAACCAGUUCUGAGGUUAACAUAAAAAGGGGUGUUCCCAAAUAAGGGCCCAAUGGCAGAAUUGUGGGGAAUGGGAGAUGUAAUUAGGGGUGGAGGCUCACGAGGGAGAGGAGUAAUAGGUGCUUUGGAUAGGCUAUAACCUCUAUAAUACCCAAUGGAUGCUGAAACAAGGGAAGGAAUUUCGAAUGGGGAAUAGGGAAUAAAAAGAUGUGCAUUUGUCGAUACAUGUGCUCUCACACAUACAGGAUGCCCAGCCUUCUUCCUAAUUCAACAAUGGCUUCAUGGAAUUCAUGAUAUUGAUAUAGAUAACAGGAACCAGCAAAGACUUCAGGAAAAAGUAGUCAAGCCACUUCAUUUCCAUUCCCUCAUCUGCAAAAACUUGGAACCUUAGGAAUUAUCCAAGACAAUACUUCACUUUAUAGAGAUGAGGAAAGUGAGCACAGCUCUUCCAGCCCAAGGAGAAGGUGGAUCCGGGUUUCAGACCUGGGUCUGUUUCCUCAUUUGGGAAAGGAAGAGAUCACAGUAAAUGACUGUGAAGGUCUGUUCCAGCUCUAACUCCUAUUAUCAAGAGCCACACCAAUGAGGAAACUGAAGCUCAAAGUCACAGUUCACAAGUGGGAGACAAAUGGCUGAGGUUUCCAGUCUCAAUCCAAGUGACCACUCCUUUCCCCACCCCAUUUCCUCAACUGCAUGCUCUCCUGCUUAAGACAUUUCAACAGCUUUGAACUGAAG
rnacentral:lncRNA from 1 species